rnacentral:rRNA from 1 species
UGAGUAACCUGCCUUCAGCUUUGGGAUAACCCUCGGAAACGGGGGCUAAUACCGGGUAUUCACUCUGGGGGGCAUCUUCUGGGGUGGAAAGCUUUUGCGGCUGGGGAUGGGCUCGCGGCCUAUCAGCUUGCUGGUGGGAUGAUGGCCUACCAAGGCGGCGACGGGUAGCCGGCCUGAGAGGGCGACCGGCCACACUGGGACUGAGACACGGCCCAGACUCCUACGGGAGGCA